CAGGCUUAACACAUGCAAGUCGAGGGGCAGCAUUUUAGUUUGCUUGCAAACUGAAGAUGGCGACCGGCGCACGGGUGAGUAACACGUAUCCAACCUGCCGAUAACUCCGGGAUAGCCUUUCGAAAGAAAGAUUAAUACCGGAUAGUAUACGAAUAUCGCAUGAUAUUUUUAUUAAAGAAUUUCGGUUAUCGAUGGGGAUGCGUUCCAUUAGUUUGUUGGCGGGGUAACGGCCCACCAAGACUACGAUGGAUAGGGGUUCUGAGAGGAAGGUCCCCCACAUUGGAACUGAGACACGGUCCAAACUCCUACGGGAGGCAGCAGUGAGGAAUAUUGGUCAAUGGGCGCGAGCCUGAACCAGCCAAGUAGCGUGAAGGAUGAAGGCUCUAUGGGUCGUAAACUUCUUUUAUAUGGGAAUAAAGUUUUCCACGUGUGGAAUUUUGUAUGUACCAUAUGAAUAAGGAUCGGCUAACUCCGUGCCAGCAGCCGCGGUAAUACGGAGGAUCCGAGCGUUAUCCGGAUUUAUUGGGUUUAAAGGGAGCGUAGGUGGAUUGUUAAGUCAGUUGUGAAAGUUUGCGGCUCAACCGUAAAAUUGCAGUUGAAACUGGCAGUCUUGAGUACAGUAGAGGUGGGCGGAAUUCGUGGUGUAGCGGUGAAAUGCUUAGAUAUCACGAAGAACUCCGAUUGCGAAGGCAGCUCACUAGACUGUCACUGACACUGGUGCUCGAAAGUGUGGGUAUCAAACAGGAUUAGAUACCCUGGUAGUCCACACAGUAAACGAUGAAUACUCGCUGUUUGCGAUAUACAGUAAGCGGCCAAGCGAAAGCAUUAAGUAUUCCACCUGGGGAGUACGCCGGCAACGGUGAAACUCAAAGGAAUUGACGGGGGCCCGCACAAGCGGAGGAACAUGUGGUUUAAUUCGAUGAUACGCGAGGAACCUUACCCGGGCUUAAAUUGCAACAGAAUAUAUUGGAAACAGUAUAGCCGUAAGGCUGUUGUGAAGGUGCUGCAUGGUUGUCGUCAGCUCGUGCCGUGAGGUGUCGGCUUAAGUGCCAUAACGAGCGCAACCCUUAUCUUUAGUUACUAACAGGUUAUGCUGAGGACUCUAGAGAGACUGCCGUCGUAAGAUGUGAGGAAGGUGGGGAUGACGUCAAAUCAGCACGGCCCUUACGUCCGGGGCUACACACGUGUUACAAUGGGGGGUACAGAAGGCGGCUACCUGGUGACAGGAUGCUAAUCCCAAAAACCUCUCUCAGUUCGGAUCGAAGUCUGCAACCCGACUUCGUGAAGCUGGAUUCGCUAGUAAUCGCGCAUCAGCCAUGGCGCGGUGAAUACGUUCCCGGGCCUUGUACACACCGCCCGUCAAGCCAUGAAAGCCGGGGGUACCUGAAGUACGUAACCGCAAGGAGCGUCCUAGGGUAAAACUGGUAAUUGGGGCUAA
rnacentral:rRNA from 1 species